rnacentral:rRNA from 1 species
CGGCGUGCCUAUACAUGCAAGUCGAGCGAGCUUGCCUAGAUGAAUUUGGUGCUUGCACCAAAUGAAACUAGAUACAAGCGAGCGGCGGACGGGUGAGUAACACGUGGGUAACCUGCCCAAGAGACUGGGAUAACACCUGGAAACAGAUGCUAAUACCGGAUAACAACACUAGACGCAUGUCUAGAGUUUAAAAGAUGGUUCUGCUAUCACUCUUGGAUGGACCUGCGGUGCAUUAGCUAGUUGGUAAGGUAACGGCUUACCAAGGCAAUGAUGCAUAGCCGAGUUGAGAGACUGAUCGGCCACAUUGGGACUGAGACACGGCCCAAACUCCUACGGGAGGCAGCAGUAGGGAAUCUUCCACAAUGGACGCAAGUCUGAUGGAGCAACGCCGCGUGAGUGAAGAAGGGUUUCGGCUCGUAAAGCUCUGUUGGUAGUGAAGAAAGAUAGAGGUAGUAACUGGCCUUUAUUUGACGGUAAUUACUUAGAAAGUCACGGCUAACUACGUGCCAGCAGCCGCGGUAAUACGUAGGUGGCAAGCGUUGUCCGGAUUUAUUGGGCGUAAAGCGAGUGCAGGCGGUUCAAUAAGUCUGAUGUGAAAGCCUUCGGCUCAACCGGAGAAUUGCAUCAGAAACUGUUGAMCUUGAGUGCAGA